rnacentral:rRNA from 1 species
UGGGGAAUAUUGGGCAAUGGACGAAAGUCUGACCCAGCUAUGCCGCGUGAAUGAUGAAGGCCUUAGGGUUGUAAAGUUCUUUUACCAGGGACGAUAAUGACGGUACCUGGAGAAAAAGCUCCGGCUAACUUCGUGCCAGCAGCCGCGGUAAUACGAAGGGAGCAAGCGUUGCUCGGAUUUAUUGGGCGUAAAGGGUGUGUAGGUGGUUUUGUAAGUUAGAUGUGAAAGCCCAGGGCUUAACCCUGGAAUUGCAUUUAAGACUGCAUUACUUGAAGAUCAAAGAGGUAAGCAGAAUUUCCAGUGUAGAGGUGAAAUUCGUAGAUAUUGGAAAGAAUACCGAUGGCGUAGGCAGCUUACUGGUUGAUACUUGACACUGAGGCACGAAAGCGUGGGGAGCAAACAG